rnacentral:misc_RNA from 1 species
ACCUUAUUGACAGUUCGUCGUCUGUCGCCGUUUAGGUUAGGUUAUUCUUAAAGUAUCCAUGAAAAUUCCAAAUUUUGUGAAAACAAUAUUUUUCGGAGUACCCAUUGGUAUAACAAUCAUAGAUGUUUUUGGAUAUGUAGCCAGGGUUGAUGGAAUUUCUAUGCAACCUGCGCUAAACCCCGAUGUGAAUCAAACAGAUUAUGUAUUUCUGAACAAAUGGGUUAUAAAAUCAGAAGAAAUUAAUCGUGGAGACAUCGUGUCAUUAAUUUCUCCCAAAGAUCCAUCACAAAAAAUCAUUAAGAGAGUCGUUGGAGUUCAGGGUGAUAUAAUCGCUACCUUGGGAUAUAAAAAAGAAAUCAUCAGAAUUCCUGAAGGUCACUGUUGGAUAGAAGGUGACCACACUGGUCACUCUAUGGACUCUAACAGAUUCGGUCCAGUAUCGCUAGGUCUGAUUACUGCGAAAGCCACUUGCAUUGUAUGGCCCCCUUCUCGUUGGCAGCUAAUCCACUCUUUCUUACCUGACUCCCGAGUACCUUUGAAUCUAGUGUCUAAACCUAUACUAGGAUUUUCUCAGUACUGAGCAGCCACAAAGACUUUAUAAAAAUGAGAGCAAUAUCUUUAGUGAAGAAAAUAGAAUUUGAAUUUACAGGAAAUGUUGCUAGAAAUGCAGUGACCUUAGGUGAUGUUGAUAAUGAUGGAUGUAAUGAGCUCAUCGUUGGAAAUCAGAAUGGUGAUAUUGCAAUUUUCAAGGGAAAGGAAAAACUGCAGUCAAUAUCUAAACUAGGUUUUAUAACUUGUAUUGCUGUUGGAGAUGUCACCAAC